GCAGUAGGUAGUGUGUUGCCGUGCCUGCUGUCGGUUGCUGUCAUUUGUGUGCUUCGUUCGAUUGUUUGCUUUACGUGCUUCCUCUUUCCUAACGUUUUAUUUUGGACUGUAAACGAUUUCAAUUAAAUAUACGUUCCUUUUAAAUUAAAUUUACCACAUUUACUCGUCAUCUACUGGUGCUUUCGCGUUAGUUAGCAAUUUUUUAGUGGUUCAUCAAUUAUUUUCAAAUCAAUUUUCGUGAAUACCUUCGUGUUUUUGAAUAAUACAUGCAGAAUAGUAGUGAUCUAGUGUUUUGUAAUAAUACACAAAUGCUUAUAGACGUUAAAGUUUCGAUGACAAAUAUCGGGUUGAGUUUCGGUGGUCGGCCGGACUAUGUUGUUUCUUGGCGCCUUAGCCAUCGGUGUGUUAACUGGGCUGCAGAACUUGACUACGGAGUUGCCGACGAGCGUCAGUGACGUGACUGAAGCGUCUUCGACGACUGAGAUGCUUCUCCAGGAGACGACGAAGAUGUCGAGUGAAUACAACUAUGACAUAAUUAAUAUUACAAUAGAGGAGCGAUACGUGCUUUUUGGCUUUCAUAUAAAUAUAUGUACGAAGUGGCGGCCCACGCACCAUGUAUUAUAUCAAGUGGCAAAUGUCAUAUUUCUUUUGUCAUUCCUAGCACCGCACACGUCCAACGGUCUGGUAGGGCUGCGACUGGGGUUGAUCACGGGAUGUGUUGUUAUGGGACUUUGGGCGUGGAGCUUUGAGUGCCACCUGGAUGCUCUGUUGUGGAAUGGUGCGUUUAUUGUGGUGAACUUAGUGUACUUUGCUGUGCAAUUGUAUUUGAUACGACCAAUCACAUUCCACCAGGAAAUUGAGGAGGUGUACACGGCGUUGUUCAAACCUUUGAGGGUCUCGAGGCGGCAGUUCCAACGAGUGCUGAUGUGCAUGAAGACCGUGCGCCAUCUGAAGUGCCAAGAAUUGUACGCGCACGAGAAGAUAACAAAGGUCGAAAGCCUCUCGUUGGUGCUGUCUGGCAAACUGGUGGUGUCGCAGAACCAGCGGGCACUUCACAUAGUUUUCCGCCAUCACUUCCUCGACUCGCCCGAGUGGUUCGGCGUCUCCACAGACGAGCACUUCCAGGUGUCAAUAAUGGCGAUGGAAGAGUCGCGCGUUCUGGUCUGGCACAGGGACAAGCUGAAACUGUCCAUCAUGUCGGACGCCUUCCUGCAGACUGCAUUCGACCACAUUCUGGGCAGGGACGUCGUCCACAAACUGUUGCAGGUUAGCGAAACGAUGGGCGUCAGCAACGGUCACCUGCCCAACAGCUUCGAAGAGGGCGAGGACAAGCCCAUGCUGGUGGUGAAGAAGGCGGGCGAUGGACCCGGCAUCACAGCGCUGCUCAACCGACAGCUGCAGGGGGAGCACGCGCCGCUGCUGUCCGCCGCCGCUGCGCCGCGCUGCGUCCGCGACUGACGUCGCUGAUCCCGACCUCUUCCCCUCUCAUGCUAACCUGCUACUUUCGUUUGGGGCUACGCGAUUUAUUUUGUCUUCUGUUACUAUUAACUUUGAGUUUAAAAUUUGUUUGGUUGUGACGUACCAAUGAACAGCACAUAAACCUCAAAAUCGUUGCUAAUUCGCCGCUGUUACCAUCGCGUGUUGCAUGCAUGGUGACUUGACGUGCGGUCGACUGUACAGUACAUGUUGAAAUAAAAAUAUGGUGCGAACCAGUUACAAAAAGUUUAAUAAUGCUUGUCGCAAUUUGUUUAAAAGAAAAACACCUUGUAAUUGAAUUUGCUCUUCUAUUUUUAUUUUUUAUUUUCCCGUAAUUGACACUAUGCUCGCAUGCAAAUACUCCAAUAUAUAAAUAUGCAAAUACUCCAAACGAAAGUAAGAUUCCUAUGAUAACUAAUACCAUAUCAUACUACUCAUAAAAUGUUAAUAUCCAUUUAUCAUAUAUGUACAUGGGGUGUAAGGUAAAGCAAAAAUACAUAUCAUAAAAUUGUGUAUAAUACAUAUAUGACAUUUAAUAUUUUUGUGUAAUGACACAUUUUUUAAAAGCAACUAAUAUGUAGUAAAUAUAUUUUAUUUUUAGCUAUAUAUCUCUAACGCUUUAACCAUGACAAUCGUAAUCUCUUUGUAAUCUAAUAUUAUAUGUAAUAUUCAAGGUAUAUUGUAUACUUUUGUCGCAUGUGUGGUCUUAUAAUAGGGUCGCUAGAUUUUAAAAAAUCUGGUAGCCCUUUUUGUGUUAGAUUUGCUUUUAAAAUACUAUUUGUUGUGCUUAUAUAAUAUUAUUUGCAAGUGUAAUUGUAACAAUAAAAAUAAUGUGAAUAUAUGCUAUUCAUUCAUUCAUAUCGAGUGUGUUAUUGCUAACACUGACAUUCAAGUCGCCUGAAUGCGUCUUCCUAUGCUAUUGUUUAUUUAUGUUAUAGUAUAUAAUGAUAUAUUGUACCCAGCAUUUAAAGAAAAUUGAAAGAGAACACUCUUUAGAACAUUUGACACAUUUAUUUAGAUAGACGUAUAAUUUAUUAUGGUUUUACCCUGCUUCGCUCGGGUAGAACCAUAAUAAAUUAUAUGUACGCCUAGACUUUCCUCGGGAAUUACACUAUCUAUUACUGAAAACCUUAUAAACAUCUGUCCGCUAACUUUUUAGUUUAUCGUGUUCAUACGGACAGGAUAUUUGUAAGGAUAUUUUAAAGCAUAUAAAUAGCAUAUAUUCACUGAUUCCGUAGAACUAUGCUUUAGUCGAUAUUCUAGUUACCUUAAUAUAACCUUAGUUUUAUAUAUAUUACAUUAGGUACUAUUAAGAAAUAAGGAAUAUUAUACUAACCUCCUUAUCGUCCUGUCCUUAAAUUCCAAAUUCCCAAUGCUUGUUUGGAAGACCAACGUUAAAAGCGACAGAUCCCAACGCGUGGCGCCUCGGCCGCAUCGAGGAGGCCGACCACGAGACGCCUGUGUGAGGCCGCGCUCUGCAUCUGGCCGUGUCCGCCAGGCAGACCUAGUGCACCUUAUUACAACACAUUAAGGGACAAAAUACUGUGGCACUGACACAGCGGCGGUGGAUCGAACGUUGACUUUUUAAUUGUGUAAAAAGUUAGUGCUGUCGUAGUGUUGGUGUUCGAAGACCGCGUGAACGUCGCUAGUACUAGUACAUCUUAUUACGACGACAUACGGAUUAUAAUGCUGUGAUGAUGAGACAUCUAAACAUUAAUGCCAUGCGAUAGAUAUUUUUAUAAAGGCGUUCGAAUUUUAAAAUUUCUACGCUACGCGUUUCUAGUGCACUUUAUUGCGGCGCAAUACGGUUCAAUAUACGGUGACGGCGAACGAGGAUUUGCAGCUUACGGGCGUACCUUAUUGCAACGUCAUAAAGGUGUUUUCUGAGCUAUGACAGUUGAGCGAACGAACAUGAAAUUUCGAUUUCGACUGUAAUUUAGUGUUCGAAAAUAUUUAUUUAGAUUUGAAAUGAAUAUUUAGAAUUGUGGCACUGACCACAAUUUCUUUGCUUCAUGUCGUUUGAGCUGCUUAUUGGUUUAAGUAAUAUAGCAUGGAUGUACCUAAUUGCAAAAGCGUCACAACCAUAAAAUGAGAGUAACAUAUAAUUGUAAGGACUUAUAUGUACAGAGUCUGUAUGCAUUAGCCUUAAGCCGUAAGGUGGCCACAAGAUGGCCAUCGGCCAUGGUGGCCUGUGGCCAUCUUGUGCUGGAUAGCUAAAGUCGAUAGCAUGAGCAUUGGCUAGUUUGGUAUAACUUCCCCUUUUUUAUAUAAAUUAUUGCUAGACUCGAGACCUUAUAUACUAAUACUUUGCCAACAUUUGAAAAGUAGUUACUCGCCCCAGUCCAACUCAGCUAUAUAAAAUAUUUAGUCACAAACUGACAAUACAUUUGUGUCUAGCCAUAGCUUGCAAUAUAUCCACGAUCAAUUUAUUAAAAUAAUUGGGACACAAAAGUUCGAUCAAUAAUAAUUAUAGAAAAUAGAUAUAUUAUAAUCUUGAGCUCGUAAAUAGCUGAGGUUUAUUGACUGAGAAUUAUUGAAAAAUAGAAAUAGCGUAUACAAAAUACAGUAAUGUAAAUUACCGUUAACUAGUAUUUACAUUUUAAAAAUACUUAUAAAUGCACACUAAAUAUAUCAAAUAUUCAGAUAAAUAUAUCGAUUCAGUGACAUAGAUAUUUAUUUUCUCAUACAGAAACAAUUGUAAAUUGAUAAUAAUAGAUUUAUAUAAAUACAAUACUCUUGGGCACUCUUGGAAUUAAUGAAAACUGUUUAUCGAAUAUGAAAUAGAAAGUAAUAAUAUGGAUUUAAUUAUUUUAAGACUCGUACAAAAACAUUAUUAUAGCAACAUAAUCUAGACUAUAUAGUUUCAUGGUAUGUUAAAUACGUAUUAAUGUAUAAGUUCAAACAUAUAGGUGCAGGAUGUUUGUUUAAACAUCGUUAUCCUUGAAAUCAGAGGUUCAGUAUCAUGAUUAGAAUCCAUAAAUCUAUUAAAAAAUGGAUCUAUUUUCAUUAAAUGUCCUAAUCACUUUACAUUCGCCGUGGGUAAAUCAGCUGGAGGUUAUGGCCCCGCCAUUUUGAGGCGUGCAAGGAACGCAAGGAUAAACGAAUUACUUAUACAGGAUGUAUCAUCAAAACUAAUUGAAUAUUAUUAUUAUUAUUUGUAUCAUCAUAAUUUCGGGUUCUAAGUUCGUGGAUUAUUUAACAACGAUAUUCAUCCUGCCUGUUAUAACAUACUAAAAAACUAUAUAUUUUAGAAAAAUAACAUCUCGAUGGUUAAGUCUUUUGUGUAAAUAUUCAUCUGUUGGAUGUCCCAAUUAAUGUAGAUGAGAGUGUACAAAAAAUGUCUAAAUACGAAUAAGAGAUACAAAUAACAUACAGAAACUCGUACGAAAUAUAAAUUUUGUUCAUUGACUAUGAAUACAUCUUUGGUGCGACUAAAUUAAAAGUGCCAUUUUUAAGCACAGAUAAUAAUGAUUACUAAGACAGUGCCUAGGGUUAAUACAUACUUUUAAGUAAAAGAUAAGCAUUUGCUAGUAGUAAAUAUAAUAAUAAAUACGAUUCGGAAACUGGACACGUAACCUAAUAGGUAAAUGAAGCACAUCGGUUCUCCAUCGCACGUUUACUUUUAGCACAUAUCAAAUAUAUUUUAAUAGACGUAUGUUUAUAUGUGUAUGUGUAUUAUAGAUAGCAGCACAAGUUUAUAUUUUGAUAUUAACAACAAAAAAGAAAAGCGAAAUCGUGUUCAAUAAAUAAAUAAAACUAUAUAAUAAAAGAUGUGUUCAUAGCCAUAUUAUUUUGUAAAGUCAUUUAAUGAUAUGAUCCGUGAGCCAGAGUUGGUUACUGGGUAACAAAAGAUUAAUAGUGUGGAAUAGACAUGUAGAUGAUGAAAUGACAAGUAUUUUAUAGUGGAUACAAUGAAAGAGAAUAUGAUGCAGUUAAUUAAUUUUUCACCAAAUCAAAAUAAAAUAGUUUUUAAUGCUGCGCCAUGACAACAUUGCCAGAAUAAUACAUACCGUGGAUUUAUAAAAAAAUUACUAAUCGGAAAUGACGUUUAUCAAGAGAAUAAACUUUUUUCAGGUUAAUUAAUUAACCUGAAAAAAGAUUGUUACAAUUAACGAUUUGACUCAUCAAAUUGAUGAGUUAAAUCGUUAAUUAACAUUAUUACAAUUAACAUUCGAAUUAUUAAACACAAGUUACAUGUGUACUACAUUUUUGUUUGAAUUAAUAAGUAAUUGUAUUAUUAUGUAAGUAUAUUCCAGGUCUAAAAAUAAAAUAUGAUGUUAUUAUGCAAACAGGAUAAUCUAAAAAACAUAUAGUAUUUAUAUAUUCUUAUAAGUAAUGUUUAUAUUGGGAAAAAAAUGAAGCUGAAAAUUAUAAAGUUAAACGAAUUGAAUAUAACAUUCCUUAUAUAUUUUUUAUUAUUGUUGACUUUAAAAUGACAAAAUACAAGUCUCAAAGCUAGAUAUCAGAAAAUGCACUGCCAAUGCAAAGUAGCUAUAAUAAUCUUGUAUUGAUUAAAGCUUUAGUAUUGUGACUAUUUCGUGAAUAGGUGUCGCAAGUGUUGUAAUAAGGAUCUCAAUUUUGAUUUUCAUUUUAAGAUGUGUUCACAUGGCAUUAGGUCCCUUUGUUUUCGUUAAUUACAUGAAAUUACUUAUUAAAACAUUGUUUGAUUUGUCCUAAUAUAUAUUUAUAAAUUUAAAUAAAAACUUUCGCCCAUUUUUGCAAAUAUAUAUGCAUCUCAUUAUAAGCAAUAUCAUUGAUAAACGUCUUGUAUAACUUGUUUUAUAAAAUAUUACUAACUGGGCUCUUUAUAUAACUUUGUGUCAUGUGAACAUCUAAUUAUACUUUAACAAGAAGAAAGCACUUCUAUGUUUUUUUAAAAAGAAAUUUGAUAUUUUUUUUAUUGAUGACUGUGAUUUUGUUUUGUUAAGGAUUGUUAAAGGACAAAAUGUGAUUGCUAAUGUGAAUCUAUGUAUUACUUGCCUUGGUGUGUGUUGUUUGGCGCACCUGGGGUGUUUAGAAUGCCUUAACUAAUUGCCAUUUGUGAUGAAUGUAAAUUAUGAUUGUAUGAAUAAAUAUUAUUGAUCACUGUAGUACUACAUGUUGAUACAGAUAGACUAAAAUAAAUGUAAAAACUUGUGUAAAACUU